rnacentral:rRNA from 1 species
CGGAGGAUCCAAGCGUUAUCCGGAGUUUAUUGGGUUUAAAGGGUGCGUAGGUGGUUCUUUAAGUCAGGGGUGAAAGACGGCAGCUUAACUGUCGCAGUGCCUUUGAUACUGAAGAACUUGAAUCCACUAGAGGUAGGCGGAAUGUGACAAGUAGCGGUGAAAUGCAUAGAUAUGUCACAGAACACCAAUUGCGAAGGCAGCUUACUAUGGUGGUAUUGACACUGAGGCACGAAAGCGUGGGGAUCAAACAGGAUUAGAUACCCUGGUAGUCCACGCCCUAAACGAUGAAUACUCGAUGUUGGCGAUAUACGGUCAGCGUCUAAGCGAAAGCGUUAAGUAUUCCACCUGGGGAGUACGCCCGCAAGGGUG